UACAGAGGUCUCAAGCGUUGUUCGGAUUCAUUAGGCGUAAAGGGUGCGUAGGCGGCGCGGUAAGUCGGGUGUGAAAUCUUGGAGCUUAACUCCGAAACUGCAUUUCGAUACUGCCGUGCUUGAGGACUGGAGAGGAGACUGGAAUUUACGGUGUAGCGGUGAAAUGCGUAGAUAUCGUAAGGAAGACCAGUGGCGAAGGCGGGUCUCUGGACAGUUCCUGACGCUGAGGCACGAAGGCCAGGGGAGCAAACGGG
rnacentral:rRNA from 1 species